rnacentral:lncRNA from 1 species
AUGAUUUGCAGCUGUGUAGUUCACUCUCAGGCUGCGCAGUGUGGCAGCCCACAUACCUACACCAUCCUCAGCCCAGGCUGCCACCAGGAGGGAAACACUGAGGCACAAGACCGCUGUCUACAGAAUUUCCUUCUGAAAGCUACACCCCUUCCCUCUAAGAGUACCCAGAGUGGCAAGUGCAUCCUUUUCAAGAGCCGUAUUCCAUUGCUCAGUUGCCUUCCUGCUUUAUCACUUUGGGCACGUGUGGUAGUUGAAGACGAUGGACUUUGCGUGGGAUUUCUAGAACAUUUGCUUUCUUUCCAGCUCUGUGAUGAAGUGGGAAUUAAGCAGCAUGCCAUCCUACCACCACUCCUCACCACUGACAGGUGUUUUCGCAUGAGGCCUUGUUUGUUAGGACCACGGGAGGUCCUUUGUUCUGGAGGCAGGAGAGCCCAUGGAACAAAUAAACACUUGCUCAAGAAAAGGUUUGUUACAUAGCAGAGGCUGAUGUGAGGGGAUACUAAGUGCUGAAUCUUAGGAUCAUUGAAUCAUUAAGGUUGGAAAAGGCCUCCAAGAUCAUCACCAACCAGUAUUGCCCACAUCUUGCUUCCUGUAGACAUAUCACAGAAUAGGUUUCUCAAGGUGGGUAUUGUUAUCAGUAUUUUUAAAAGUGUCCUUGUCCUAGAAAAGUUGGCCAAAAUGCUGUUGAGGUGUACAUAUUAUAUUAUUUUGUGUUUUCCUUUCUGACUGAUAAUUAAUAGCAUGAAUAACGUGGGAAACUUUAUUCCAGAUUCUGAAACAGUCGUUAAAUAAGGAAUCAAAGACUUCUCACAAAGAGAUCCGCAUUUGUGUGCACACAGAAACACAAGCUUUCCUUUUGCCAUUUGUCAGCCAGAGGCACAGAAUGGGUAACAUGGUGAAAAAAUCUAUUCUGUUAAAUACUACACAGGGAAGGCUCAAACAUGAGAAGGAGAGCAGCCUAAGGUGUGGCGAUACAGAUACAAAAACGCAUGUGUAUCGUAAAAAGCAUUUGACUGUAGAGGAAGGAAUCAACACAUUUAAUGUUAAGCUGAUUUGGAAAGGUUAUAAUGAACAAACGGCAGUAAUGUUUAGCAUUACAAUGGGUGCCAGCUUCCCUGGAACAAUCUUCAAGUCUGUCAGCAGUAAGUAUGUAUGCUUUCCACUGUUGUUACACGCCUAUCUUCAUGUAACUCUCUGUUUGAUUCACAUUUACUAGAUGCC